CGCCCGGCCUUGCUCCCGGCCUCACCCGGCUCAGCUCCGAGCCCGCGGGGAGCUGUUCCCGUGGCAACGCCGCCACCGAUGGCCGACCCGUCCCGGCGCCUGGCGGAGGGUGCCCGCCGCCGCCGCCCGCCAGGGGAAGAGCGGCGGGAGCCUCCCGGCACCGGGCGCUGCCGGACGCGCCACAGGCUGAAGGCGGCCGCGGCCCUGGCCCGCACGGGAAGCGAAGGCUCGGCGGCGAACAUGACUUCAGAUAAGGAGUUUGCAGAAGAUAGCAAUUUUUCGCCAAAAGCCAGCACCAGUAAGCUGCCGACAGAUGCAUCUCCCGACUCCAAAUGCCCCAUCUGCCUGGAUAGAUUUGACAACGUUGCAUAUCUAGAUCGCUGCUUGCACAGGUUCUGCUUCCGCUGUGUCCAGGAAUGGUCAAAAAACAAAGCAGAAUGCCCACUCUGCAAGCAACCCUUUUUUUCCAUUUUCCAUACGAUUCGUGCUGAAGAUGACUUUAAGGAGUAUGUACUCAGCCCUUUAGAAACUAGCUCCUUUGCCAGCCCUGAUGGCCGGAGAUUUCGUUAUCGCACUACCUUAACGCGGGAGCGCCGCGCGCGCAGUUCCCCUUCCCGACGGAUGCUGUCCCCUCCAGAUAACGGGAUGCUGUUUGAAGGGUUGUCGAGUGAGCCAACGCGCCAGAGACACAGAGAGAUUCAGCAGAUGAUCAGGAGGCUGGCCUCAAGGAGAAAGGCCAGCGCAGAGGGCAGAUCUCUGCGACAGAUUCAGGAGGAGGACAUGAUCAACUUCCGCAGGGCUCUGUACCGCACUGGCGUGCGCAUCCGCAGCAUUCAGGACGGUGGCCGCUAUCGAGAGAUUUCGGCAGAGUUCUUCCGCCGCAACCCUGCUUGCCUUCACCGCUUGGUUCCUUGGCUGAAGAGAGAACUUACAGUCCUGUUUGGUGCCCAUGGAUCUCUGAUUAAUAUUGUGCAGCACAUAAUCAUGAGUAACGUAACUAGGUAUGAUCUGGAAAGUCAGGCCUUUGCUGAUGAUUUAAAGCCAUUUUUGCUGAAUCGGACAGAGCACUUCCUGCACGAAUUCAUCAGUUUUGCUCGUUGUCCUUUUAACUUAGAAGCAUACGAUCAGCAUGCCAAUUAUGACUGUCCUGCACCAUCAUACGAGGAAGGAAGCCACUCAGACUCAUCUAUUAUUACAAUAUCUCCAGAUGUGGUGUACCCACAAGGGCCAGAUAAUAGUCUGUCUGUACCUGGUCUUGGGCAGGCCCCCUGGGAUGAUGAAACUCCAGGGCCUUCCUAUUCCAUUUCAGAAGAGGUUCGUGCAACCGUAGCUUCUCCUCUGGAGUCAUCAGAAAGUUCUGAUGAGGACUCUGCUUCAGGGAGUCGGGGAACCAAACUGCAGACUGGCUUACAGGCUAAUGCUGACUCAAACGACAGUGGCUCUUCCUCAGACAAUUGUGUCAUUGUUGGGUAUGUUAAGCCAUUAGCUGAGAGAACCCCAGAAGUGGUUGAGCUGUCCUCUGACUCUGAGGAGUCCAUCAAAGAAGAGAAAAGGGAAGAUGUCAAGAAACAGCUACCAGUCCAGUGUCACAGCUGGAGUGACAGUGAACCAAGCAGGAGCUUCUCACCUCAUUCCCCAACAUACAGGGAGGAUGUAGGAAGUUGUAGAAGCUGUUUAUCUCCUGCAGUUGAGAAGAUGGAAUCAAAAGAGGAUGAGAAGAACAAAUGUAAAAGAAAAGAUCUGCCUCCACACGACUUGAGCUGGUGCCCCUCUCCAGGGAGUGACACAGUGUGCUCCCCUUGGAAUCACAGAUUGUCUAAGAAGGGAAAGUCCAGAAGCCCACAGUCCUGUUCACGGGACAGUCGAGGCAGUCAUGGCCAUCGGUCUAGAAGGGAGCACCGUAGCAAAAGCCAGCUUAAAAGGAGACGAUCGAGAAGUGGAGAUAGUAACAAAUAUAGGAGUCGAAGAAGCAGCAGAAGGUCCAGGGCUCAUGACACCAGAGCCUCUCUGAAAAGCCAGAGGUGCUCUCUAAGUGGUGAGAGUACUCCUUCCAGAGAAGUAAGUAGAUCACGUUCACGUAGCAAAGGCCACAGUAAAAGGAGAUCAAGAAGUAGAGACAGCGAUCGCUAUUAUGUAAGAGACAGUUAUCAAAGUAGACACCAGUGGGGUUCUGCUUUCUGUAGUCGAAAGGUGUUUGGAGACAGCUAUGAAUCCUCCAGCAGAAGGAGGACCCGGUCUAACACUCUUUACUCAAGACAAUCUGCUAGUCCAGAAUACAGGAUACGAUCAUUUAUUGAGAGGGCAGAUCUGCAUAGCCAGAGGGGACUCCAUGAGAGACACUAUUACUGUUAUGAAAGAUGCAGGUCAAGGAGUCGAUCAAGCAACAGAUCAAGGACUCCUUCUGGAGGAACUGACAGAAUGAAAAGUGAAAAGCCUGGUGGAAAAAGGAAGUACAAAACUCGCCACCUGGAGAAUGCAUUCAUGGAGAGCACAAGUCUAGAAAGAGAAAAUGACUCCAAGAAAACUUCCUCAAAAUUUGGUGAUUGCUGCAAAAAUGAAGAUAGCCUGUCAGACAAUCGUGCAAGCAGCGAGACAAAGCGCAAGAAAAGGAAGAAGAAAAUGAGGAGUCCAAGUGUGGAGAUAGUCUACGAAGGAAAAGCAACAGACACAGCGAGGCAUCUUAAAAAGAAAAAGAAAAAGCAUAAGAAGAAACACCGGAAACAUCACAUGAGUAACUCAGUACAUUCUUCUCCGGUGGUGAUUACGAUUGAUAGUGAUAGUAGCAAGGAGCCAGAAAGUACCGAAUGGGACAGCAGUAUUACAUGGACAGGCACAGCUCAGAUAAAUGAGAGGGAAAAUGAGUCUCCAUCUUCUUUUCUGAGGAGGACAGGAUGUGAGGAAACUGGAGGAAUAGACAAAAAGUGUGAUAUCCCUGCCACAAGGGAAAACUUAGAUGGUAACAAUAGAAAUGCUGAUGUCAAACUUCAAGAAACAGCAGCUGAUCAGAGUGUUACCACCCUGAAUACCAGCAGUAAGGCCUCUCACACAGAAACUGUAACCAGUUAUGUUCAGGAAGCACCAGCAGCGCCUUCCAGUCAACUGCCUUCCCCCAGGACUUCCUUCCUAGAAUGUCCAGAGAGAGAGCCAUUGAUACUAAGACUGCCAAAGAGACUUGUCAGCAGAUCCUCAUGGUUUGAUUUCCCAGAAGAAAAAAUGUAGUAGGCUUUCCUUGGAGCAUUGUUUAAACUGUGAAUUUAACUACUCUUUUUUUCCCCUUCAGAACUAAAAUGUCUGAUAGCGUUUCUGUCUGUUAAAAAUACGUCUAGUAAAUGUAUGAAACUGUUGAAUGUGUAUGCACCUUUAAGUCAAAGAAGAUAGAAUAUAGUAUGUAAUUCUAAGUUUGUUAGAGGACUCUUUGGAAGUUUUAAUUUCAUAAAGCCAUCCACACAGUAUUUCAAAGUUUUGUUUAAAUCAAACAACAGAAAAGGAGCCCAAAACAAGAGCCAGGAAAUGCAUUUUAUGGGGAUUGCUCCUUUUAGACAAGGGAAACAUUGUUUAGUUCAUAAAAAGGGAUUCAGUCUGAAUUCCAGCAUCAUUUCAAUCUCUCGGGUUAAGCUGAUCUCUGCUGAAAAGUAGUCAGUGAUUUCUACAGAAAUCCUCAAAAGACUUUUGAGUAAUUUUAAGCCUAUCCAAGUCUCCACUGGGAGUGUUUGGACUGUGCUCUCAAGCACCUGCUGUCACUCUUGGGGGGCCCUGUGCAGGGCCAGAAGUUGGACUUGAUGAUUCUGGUGUCCAGGAUCCUGAUGUCCUGGUAUCCUGCUCAGGAUAUUCUGUGAUUCUAUGACUUGAAACCCUCACCUCACAGGACAGUGAUCUGAUUUCUUGGCCAAGCCCUGACAGACUGCCUUCAGGAGGAGAGGCUGGGAAACUGAUUUUUAACAGUGACUCAGUGGCAUCAUCUUCAGCCCAGCCUCAACUCAAGUUAUCAGCCUGUACUGAAUCAGGAAGAAAUCUGCAUCCCAAAUUUCCUGCAUGCAAGCAAAUUCAUGUCUCCUCUAAAGCCUUGGUGAAGCUGUGGCUUUGCCUCUUCCCCAAAGACUGCAACACUGCUUACACUGCAGCUUUAAGGAAAUUUUAAUUAUUUUGAAAACGGUCUUUCUAGUUCUGAUCACUCUUAAAAAUGUAGCCAAGCAAGAGGCUUUUUUUAAAAAAAUUAGUCAGUCAGCCAGCCUUUGCUGCUCAGCUUUUGCUACCAAUCUGUUACGCCUGUCACAACAACUUGACAGAUUGUCACAAUAAAUGGCACAAGUUUAGGAUGUUGUUUUGUUUAGCCUUCAUAUGAAGUACUUUGAAAAACAUUUUGGUAGAGGAGUUUAAUUAAAGUAUAGCAAAUGAACUCUGAAAGAGGGGAAUAAGUCACACAGUAGUUUAAAAUUGUUAGAAUGGUAUUUUUUAUUAUUUUUUGUUUACCUGGGGGGACUGAAAUUUACUGCAAGUGGUUGUGAAUACUGACGAAAUAAAU